rnacentral:rRNA from 1 species
AUACGUAGGGGGCAAGCGUUAUCCGGAUUUACUGGGUGUAAAGGGAGCGUAGGUGGUUCGGCAAGUCAGAUGUGAAAGCCCGGGGCUCAACCCCGGGACUGCAUUUGAAACUGCCGUACUAGAGUGCAGGAGAGGUAAGUGGAAUUCCUAGUGUAGCGGUGAAAUGCGUAGAUAUUAGGAGGAACACCAGUGGCGAAGGCGGCUUACUGGACUGUAACUGACGUUGAGGCUCGAAAGCGUGGGGAGC